AUGGAGCAAACACUAAGUGACAUUAAACAAAAUGCCCAGAAGUUGCACAAAUCAGGACGAUUUAAAGAGGCUGAAGAUUUAUUCUCUGAAGUCUUGAGGCUGAGGGUCCGGGGGCCUCGCCCCCAACACAUACCACUGAGUUUUGUAUUACAGUAUCUAACAGUUAAUGAUAUUAAAUUCAAUUAAUCUCUUUAUAGGAAGGAGCAAAUAGCAUUGGUUCAAUGACAGAGGCCAGUGCAGGUACAUGCAAGUGAAACUUUGAUGAGGCUGUCACAGACUAUACUGAGGCCAUAAAGCUGGACCCUACACUGGCAGUUGCUUACUACAAUAGAGGAACAAUUUAUUAUAGACUAUGUGCUGGAAUGCCUCAGGAGACUGGUGAGAUGCAAAGUUACCUUCAGAAAGCAUUAGAUGAUCUAGAAGAAGCUCUUAAAUUGGCACCAGAUAAUCUUGAGUUCUUAGAGGGUUUAAAAAACUGCAAGGCUAUACUACUUACAAAAGAUAAAAUCAAGGUAUUGAAACUCAAAACUACUCCACUUGGAAAAUUAGCUAAAUUACUAUUUCUUUUAGACAAUGGUGACAGAGCACAGGAGCAACAGAAGAGUUUCAGGAGCAAAACACAGAAGCUGCACAGGAAGCAAAAAAUGUUUUCCUGUCCAUUCUGAAAGACAAAGAAAAGGGUCAUCAUCAGAUUAUUAAUAUUUUGCUGAAACGUGGUGAGCAGUGCAGAGAUUAUCCCACACUGGCUCUUCCAAGUGGUACAGCAUCUUCGAGUAGAGGUUUAAGAAAGGCAGAUGAGGAUCUUCUUACCUUGACACAGGCCUGUCAUUACUUGGGAAUUGAAUACCAGUGUCUAGACGAGAAACUAAAGAAGGUUCAAGAUAAAGCAUUGCUUACUCAAGAUGAAAGAAAUGGUACAUUUUUUAUAUAUGCAGAAAAUUUGUUUAUGAUUCACAUGUGUGAUAGUUUGACACCUACACUUGUUUUUAAAUUGUUAAAUAUAAUGAAAACUAACAAAAGUUUUUCUAGUGGCAUUGACAAGGACUUACUUGCCAGCAUUACAAUAGACCAACUGACACAUGAAGGACUGAAAGAAGCACUGUUCUUCUUCAUAAUUAGGUUGAUGGAAGACGGUAAUAUGCUGAACCGUUUGUACACAGAUAAACUGAAAGACGCUUUCAAAGAACUUAAUCAAAACAGCACCAAGGAAGAGAAACAGAUAAUCACCAGUUUGUUAUACAAGCUAAGAAACUAUCCAGGAGAAUGCCAUCCUUCUGGAUUAUGCAUUGUCUUUUGUGUUAGUGAAAACAGAGAAGGAGCUAGCAGUGAAAUAGCCAAGAUAAAAAAAUUAUUUGAAAAUAUUCUUGGUUUCACAGUCAAAAUUGAGGAAAAUCCUAGUGUGAAGACCAUUGAAUCUUACGAAUUAGAACUACAGAAGCCAAAGUAUCGUUAUUAUGACUCCAUUGUGUACUGGUUUGUUAGUCAUGGCAAUGAAACUGAACUAAAACUUCCUAAUGAUGAGAUAUACUUAAGGGAAGAAUUUAUUGAUAAUUUUUCAAAGCCAGCCAACUUCAUCAAAAAACCUAAAAUUUUCUUCAUGGCAGCUUGCCGAGGAGAAAAGACCAUUCCUGUAGUUAAAAAAGGUGGCCGUCCAUCAAGUGCAGAUGCAAAACAUCGCGCAAAUAUAAAAAUUCCAGACUCUUCUCUGGACAUUGAGAAUGUCCACUAUGAGGUUGACCGUCUUGUUGUUAAUGCAACUCUUCCUACAAGAUAUUCCUUUCGAAGCAAAGAUGAAGGUUCAGUGUUUGUGGAUGUUGUAUGCUCUCUUCUGGAAGAAUAUUGUGGAGAAAACAUCACUGAAGCACUAGUAGAAGCAUCCCGGAUAAUACACCAGAUUAUUUUUAAAAGUAAUGAUAAUUCAUUUGAAGGGUUUUCCAAACAAGCAUGUUCCUAUGAUAGCACACUCCAAAAAACUUUUAUUAUUCCAGUGGGUAAAAAGAAACAGUAAUUAGAUAAACUUACAAAACUUUUUAAUUUGUAUGUAUUAAAUUUUGUGAUUAUGCUUGUAGUUCAAGUUUUUCUAAAAGUGUUAAAAGCCAUGAAGUAUUCUAUAUUUUGCAGUAUUGUUUUUAUGUAGUAAGGCCUAUUAUGAAAAAUAUGUUCUUUAUUGAGGAAUGGAGAAAAAGCAUAAUAAAUAAAUGCAGGUACAGUAACGACUUUUAUACGACAUUAGUAAAUUUAUUUUAUAAGCCUUUUAAACUUCACACUGCAUUGGGCCUAUGAAGAUCCGAGUACAGUUGACCAUCACCUCUGUCCUUGAACUGAGAAUAUAUUGAUAUCACAGAUAGGACUGAUGGACAAUUGAUCUGAUAUUUUAUCCAUGAUGCCUGUGUGAUGUUUAGAUUUCUGUUAUAUAGUUGGUUGAGCAGUAAUUGAGACUAUCUACAUAAAAAUUUAUAUACUAAGGUUAGCAUAGUCUUGGACUUGCAAGUACAAGGUUACCAUUUCAAUAUCCAGUAUUAUUUGCACAAUUUAUAUAAUAAGGUAUUCUAUUGUACUUAGUAAUUAAUUCUAAUUUCUUACUGUGAGUUAGUGGGCCUUCAUUCAAAAUAUAAUAUAUCAGUCUAAGGAAACAGGACAACAGUGAAAAAAUAAAAGAAUAUAUUAUUGUGGUAAACAGUUGGAAGAGUUGAUAUGUGUGGUUCCUUGAGUUACAAUGAUCUUGAGUAAUGAUAAUUUUGAGUUACAAUUUACCCUCAUAAAGGAACCAAGUUUUGAGUUGCGAUGAAAAAUUUGAGAUAUGUGUACAGUGGUCAUUGCAGCAAGGCCUGGAUGAUAAGACAAUUCUUCAGUGUUUUGUCUGUCAGUCAAGAGCUACCUUCAGAUCAACGAACUUCCUCUAAAGGCACUGUUACAUGACAUGAUUCACAACUUGCUCAAUCUCUAGAGGCAGAAUUGAGCUUUGUUACAGUUAAAUUCUUCCUACCCAGUGCAACUUCUCUGCUUCAGCCUGUGGACCAGCAAGUGAUUUCAAAUUUUGAGAAGAUUUACACCAAGAUAUUUGCUAAGUGCUUUCAGAGACUUCAGGAAAUGGAGUCAUCAGCCUCAAGAAAUUCUGGAAAACUAAGUUCAAUAUCUUAAGAUUAUGUGAGGCUCAUAGUGAAUUCCUAGAAUGAAGUUUCCACUCGGUGCCUCAGUGCAG